CCGUCCGGGCCCGGGCCGAGCUCCCCGGAGUGUCCCGGGUCAGGUCCCCCGCCGCCGCCGAGCCUGCACUUCAGAGCCUCCCUGUGGCCCAGGAGCUCCGCCGCGGCAUCCUUCAUCCCUGCACAGACAACCGCAGCAGGACCUGUAUAAGCAGUCAUAGCUCCACAUCUCCCCCGUGCAGACUCCACUAACACGCUCACAUCAAUCUUACCUCUGAUAUAAAUAAAAAUAGACAAACAAACAAAUCCGCCCUCUGCAAGUUAAUGCGGCGCAUCUGAGUGGAAAGUAGACGUUUUCACGCGUUGUGGAGAUGAGGAGUGACUUUUAAUAAAACAGCAAAAACCAACGUGAGACACGCGAGACGCGCGCUGCUGCUGCUGCCGCAGCCGCGUAUCCGGCUCAGAGGCCAACUCUGGUUCAUGCGUCUCAUCCAUGCGCGCUGGACGCGUUGGGUGACUGGCGGGACUUGAACUCGUGACCUCGUGGUUACAGCGGAGACCCUCGGCCCGGGCGACGUCCCUUCCUUCUUCCGUCUUCCCUCUCCUCCCCCCUUCUCUCUCUCUCUCUCUCUCUCUCUCUCUCCCUCUGAUCCGCCUUUGCAGCCUGUAUUCACUCAAUUAGAGAUUUCUGAGGAGAAAAACAAUCGAUCUUCCAUCUGCACAAGCUCCCAGUUUAACAAAUGAGAUUCUUGUUUCAUGCAGCUGAUUUGGUGACAGUCUGGGGGAUUAGGAGUAAUAAGUUGCUGUGGUGAAGAGGAGGUGGUGGUGGAGGUGGAGGAGCAGCUGGCGCUGAUGCUGCUGCUGCUGCUGCUGCUGCAGCCGCAUCGGUCUCCUGCGCGUCCAGGAACCAGCCGCAAAAGUUUGACACGGACAAACUUCAGAGGCAGAAAAUUGGCAAAGCUGCGCAUCCUUCAUGGUGGCGACAUGUAGUUACAGCUUCAGCCACGAUGGCUCCGUUUCCUCAGCAAACAUUUUGAUGUUAGCGUCAACUUGGAAUGAAAAUAAUGAACGAGAGUUUAAGAAUCACCCAAAACCACUUUACUUCAAGAUGUUAUCAGACAAAAUGAACUUUACGCAGCGUUUACGCAUUUCCAUGACAUUUGGUCGUUUAGUUAUCAGCUACAAUAAUACAAAUUAUUAAUUGUUUUACCAAAAAAAAUACUGUAGUAAAAUGUCUCAGACUUGGCCACUGAAUCAAAUCUCAUUAUCCGCUCUCAUUACCAGGAAUUAAAUGGCCGCUGAGGUUAGACAGAGGUUACACAGGGGACGAUCCGUUCAUUUGGGUCUAAUGUUUUUUUUUUUUUUUUUGUGAGGGAGGCCUCGUUGGUUUUGCUGAUCAUCCACAGCUGAUAAGUCAUGUGAUUUUUUUUAAGGAGGACAGAAAUGAAAUGAAAGUACAGGAUCGCUCCAAAGCGCGCAGAUGUUCAGGAUGAAGCGAGAACGAAGCUUCUUUCAUUCUCAUUCUCUACUUUUAUUUGAUUUUAUUUAUAGUUUACGCAACUUUAAUCUAGAUUUCUGUGGGAAAAUCUGUGCUCAUUAUUAUUUUCUCACUAUUUCAAAGCAUAUCUUAAUAUAAAAAUGGAACCAAUUAACAAUUUAAAACCAUUAGAAUUUUUUUUAUCAGAAAUAAUAAUAAAAAAUGAUUUACUUUUCUAUUCUUAAAUGUAAAUGCUCCUUUUAUUAGCAGUAUUUCCACGCACUGUUGCUGCUCUACAGGAGGAGGUGGAUACUCGCCUUCCAGCCUCCAGCUUCCGUGCGCGGGUCCUCCGGUCACAUACACCCAGGUGUAGCGCCCCGCCGCCGCAUCUCAUGCCUCAAUUAGCGCCGCUGCCCUCUGCACGGACUCGAUUAGGCCGUGAUUUAUCCGAAAGAAAUAUAAUUAUACCUCCAAAUAAAAUAAUCAGCAUUGAAGAGCGAUUUCCUUAACGAGAUGGAGCGGGGUAGAUGUCACGCAAGUAGCAGCGCCUCAUUAGGGCGCUAAUGAGACUUUGGGGUGAUCCCGAUAAUUAUCGAAAUCUGUAAAAUAAGGAUCAAGUCAAAUGUAACCUUAAUUUGUCUGGCAAUUGAGUUCAUUUAUUAGUAUGACUAUUUAGGAAGGACUCUCUCCGGCUUAAUGCGGGCUGGUGUCGUUAUUUGAGGAUAAUAGGUGGCGCGUUCACGGGCCUGUUUUGUCAUUCACGGCCAUAACCAACAUUUGUCACUUGACUGACAGCGUUGCCCAAAGUGCUCUUGUCUUUAUUGUAGGCAUCAAGACACGAUCCGUCUCCCCGUGCUGUUAACAGGAACAGCAGCAGGUGAAUACACUGCAAUUAAAUCUGUCAGUUAGUGUUGAAAUGAUCCGGAGAUUAGUCAAUCAGAGAGGGAGGGGUGAGGAGGGUGAGGAGGGAGGGAGGGGGGGAGGACAAAAAAAAAAAGUCAUUUCUGAGAAUUAUGUCAGAGAUUCUGUGUCAGUGUGCUGAUCCCAGCUGGUUUAUUACACCAUCAAACGGAUUAUUUCUGCUGCUACAGUCCAACAUUGAAGCACGUCGUCCUCGGUGUAGAGAAGGCAGCCGAUAAAUAUUCAAUCAAGCCAAAUAAAAGAAUAAAAAAAAAAAAAAAAA